rnacentral:rRNA from 1 species
ACGGGGGGUGCGAGCGUUGUUCGGAAUUACUGGGCGUAAAGGGCGUGUAGGCGGCUGAAUAAGUCAGAUGUGAAAUCCCUGGGCUUAACCCCGGACGGGCAUUUGAAACUGGUAUACUUGAGUAGGGGAGAGGAAAGGGGAAUUCCCGGUGUAGAGGUGAAAUUCGUAGAUAUCGGGAGGAACACCAGUGGCGAAGGCGCCUUUCUGGACCGAAACUGACGCUGAGACGCGAGAGCGUGGGGAGCAAACAG